AGCAGCCGCGGUAAUUCCAGCUCCAAUAGCGUAUAUUAAAGUUGUUGCAGUUAAAAAGCUCGUAGUUGAAUUUCGGGGUCAGUAGGCUGGUCGUGCCACGGGUAUGUACUGGUCUUACUGAUUCCUCCUUCCUGAUGAACCGUAAUGCCAUUAAUUUGGUGUUGCGGGGAAUCUGGACUGUUACUUUGAAAAAAUUAGAGUGUUUAAAGCAGGCUAACGCUUGAAUACAUUAGCAUGGAAUAAUGAAAUAGGACGAUCGAUCCUAUUUUGUUGGUUUCUAGGAUUGACGUAAUGAUUAAUAGGGAUAGGUUGGGGGCAUUAGUAUUCAAUUGUCAGAGGUGAAAUUCUUGGAUUUAUUGAAGACUUAACUACUGCGAAAGCAUUUGCCAAGGAUGUUUUCAUUAAUCAAGAACGAAAGUUAGGGGAUCGAAGACGAUCAGAUACCGUCGUAGUCUUAACCAUAAACUAUGCCGACUAGGGAUCGGAUGAUGUUAAUUUUUAUGACUNAUUCGGCGCCUUA
rnacentral:rRNA from 1 species